UAGUCAUUCGCUUGUCUCAAAGAUUUACCCAUGCAUGUCUAAGUUUAAAAUUUUUAUACUUGAAACUGCGAACGGCUCAUUAAACCAGUUAUCGUCCAUUUGAUAGUCUUUUCUUACAAGGAUACUUGUGGCAAAUCUAGAAAUAAUACUUGCAUCAAAAGGCGACUUCGGAAGCCUUGCAUUUGUUUGAUUUAAACCAAUACCUUUCGGGGUUUUUGAGGUGAUUCAGAACAACUUAGCGAAUCGCAGUGCCCUUGUGGCGGCGAUGAAUCAUUCGAGUUUCUGCCCCAUCAGGUUUCAUUCCGAAGGUAUUGUCUUCGGAAGCCAGUCACGGGUGACGGAGAAUCAGGGUUCGAUUCCGGAGAGGGAGCCUUAGAGACGGCUACCACAUCCAAGGAAGGCAGCAGGGGCGUAAAUUACUCAAUACCAAUACGGUGAAGUAGUGACGAGAAAUAUCAUUAAGGAGCCCUUCGGGUUUUUUAAAUGAAAUGAGAGCAAUCUAAAAACCUCAUCGAGGAUCAAUU
rnacentral:rRNA from 1 species